AUGGACGGACGCAGCCACGGCCGGACUCGACGAAAUAAAAUCCAUACUAGCAACAAACCCGUCCUGGCCGCGCCAAACAUUGGCGAACCAAUGCUAUUAUACAUUGCAGCAACACAUCAGGUUGUAAGCGCAGUGCUCGUCGUCGAACGAGAAGCGGACGGACACAAAUUUCCCCUUCAAAAGCCGGUCUAUUAUGUGUCCACUGUCCUCACUCCCUGCAAAUCACGAUACCCGCAUUAUCAAAAGAUUGCGUACGCGGUAUUCAUGGCAUCCCGGAAGCUACGACACUACUUUCAAGAGUGUUCAAUAACAGUAGCCUCGGAAGUACAACUUAACGAUAUUAUAAACAACCGUGACGCAACGGGCCGGAUUGCAAAAUGGGUCAUUGAGCUCCUCCCGUUCGACAUAACUUAUAAGCCACGACGAGCCAUCAAGUCACAAGUCUUGGCCGACUUCGUCGCAGAAUGGACGGAGGCCGAACUCCCUAAAGAGUACGGCACAUACUCAAAUUGGAUCAUGCAUUUCGACGGCUCCAAGAUGUUGGCCGGACUGGGGGCUGGCGUCGUUUUGACGUCCCCCACAGGAGACACAGUUCAAUACGUACUACAGAUUAUGUACACGGACUCCAACAAUGCAGCCGAAUAUGAGGCCCUUUUACAUGGUCUCCGGAUGGCAGUAUCCAUGGGCAUUCAACGCCUAGAGGUGCGCGGGGACUCAAACCUCACAAUAUCCCAAAUAAAUGGAGACUUCGAUGCCAAGGAUCCACAAAUGGCAGCUUACCACAACGCCGUCCUAAAAAUGUCAGCUCGGUUCGAGGGGCUUGAAUUUCACCAUAUAGCCUGGGAAAAUAAUCAGGCGGCAGAUGUCCUGGCACGCAUCGGCGCAAAACGCGAUGUAGUCCCCCCCAACAUUUUCUUGGAAAGGCUAUUCAAGCCAUCCGUAGUAUGGGAAGGGGAGCCGAACAAUAAUAGCCCGGACCCAACCGCACUGCCCGACACCGAACAUUCUGACAUAAUCGGAGGCUCUGCCAAUGAAAUAACACCUUCAGCCCACGUAAUAAUGGCCGUCAUCGCCCCGUGGACAGAACCAUUCCUCGCCUACCUUACUAGGCAGGAACUCCCCGAGGACCAAAAUGAGGCACGCUGCAUAGUAUGGUGA
rnacentral:rRNA from 1 species